rnacentral:rRNA from 1 species
UACGUAGGGCGCGAGCGUUGUCCGGAUUUAUUGGGCGUAAAGAGCUCGUAGGCGGCUUGUCGCGUCGACUGUGAAAUCUCAGGGCUCAACUCUGAGAUUGCAGUCGAUACGGGCAGGCUAGAGUUCGGUAGGGGAGACUGGAAUUCCUGGUGUAGCGGUGAAAUGCGCAGAUAUCAGGAGGAACACCGAUGGCGAAGGCGGGUCUCUGGGCCGAUACUGACGCUGAGGAGCGAAAGCGUGGGGAGCGAACAGG